ensembl:lncRNA
UCUAUUGUUUUUUUCUUUUUUUUUUCUUUUUCUGUAGUGUGUCAGUAGAAAAUCAGUUUACAUUUCCAAACAUUCAUUUUGCCGUUGUCAGACUGCUUGUGCAUUCAAAAUCACACUAGAUUAUUAUUAAAAUUAAUGGCAAACUGAUAUUUCCUACUGACACACUACAGCAAAAGAUAUAAAUAAAUGGCUUAAACCCCUUUUUGGGGUGAAAAUACUAAUGUGCCUAAGACUUUUGCACAGUACUGUACUUUACAAACGACAUUGUUGCUACUUUAUAAAGAAUGACCAUACAGUCAUUCGCAGAACUGCUUAAAGACAGUGACAGACACCACUCAUUUUAACUAAAUAUCAGAGUGAUUGACAGAGAUACAGUAGAAACAUUAUGUGUGCUUUUGUAUUAAAUAAUGACCCAGAUUGUGAAAUACAUUUAUUAGCCUUAGAGUAAGGGAAGCACAACUUGGCAAAUGAGAGCAUCCAAGGUGAAAGCUAUGGAAUUAUUUUAAAUAUUUGUAAUGUUCUUUAUUGUUAAUCGUUUCAGGCACCGGUACCAUUUUAAAAGUAUCGAAAUGGCACCGGACCCUACUUAAAAGUUAUUAUUUCUCAACUACUGGCUCAUUUAUCAAAUGGGUGCUUUCUCUUCAUCCUCCGCAAAUUAAGCUACUGUAGGUAGUCCGGUAACUAGACGUUUGAAUAAAUUAGCGUUUGCGAUUGACAACGCGAUUGACAAUGUGAAAGUCGUGACAUUUGCCAAGUAUGGUAACCCAUACCCGGAACUUGUUCAUUGCCCUCGCAGAUUCCUGCAGCUAAGCUUGGAUGUACAUUAAAUACAUUCCAUUAAAGGCAACUAGUCAUCAUAUCUCUAGUUCUUUAAUGUAUUUGCAUUGUACUAAAGUGCGUUCAUUUUCAAUGGGCAUAUAUGCGGCUGAAACAGGUAAUCUAGUGCAUCCCAAAUUUUUCAACAUGAAUAUUUUAAUAUAACAUUAUAGUCAUUAUGGCCUAUAGCCUUUAGAAAAAUGUUUUUUUGAGGAGGUGGGGUAGUGCACAAUAGGCCCCUGUGGCGUGGCCUAAGCUUUUGUUCUUAAUGGCAUUUUUUUUCCUUACAUUACUUUUACUUUUAUACUUUAAGUAGUUUUGAAACCAGUACUUUUACACUUUUACUUGAGUAAAAAGCUUGAGUUGAUACUUCAACUUCUACAAAAGUCUUUUUAAACCCUAGUAUCUAUACUUCUACUUGUGUAAUGAAUGUGAAUACUUUUGACACCAGUGCAUAUAUAUGAUUUUUUUUUUCUAAAAUUAGCAUUUUUAUCAGGCUCCUAUGUUUAGAUUCAGUAAUUUUAGUUUAAUGGCAAUGUAAAGGUCCUUUAACUAA